AGCGUACACGGUGGAUGCCCUGGCAGUCAGAGGCGAUGAAGGACGUGCUAAUCUGCGAUAAGCGUCGGUAAGGUGAUAUGAACCGUUAUAACCGGCGAUUUCCGAAUGGGGAAACCCAGUGUGAUUCGUCACACUAUCAUUACGUGAAUACAUAGCGUAAUGAAGCGAACCGGGGGAACUGAAACAUCUAAGUACCCCGAGGAAAAGAAAUCAACCGAGAUUCCCCCAGUAGCGGCGAGCGAACGGGGAGGCAGCCCAGAGUCUGAAUCAGCUUGUGUGUUAGUGGAACGGUCUGGAAAGUCCGACGGUACAGGGUGAUAGUCCCGUACACCAAAAUGCACAGGUUGUGAACUCGAAGAGUAGGGCGGGACACGUGGUAUCCUGUCUGAAUAUGGGGGGACCAUCCUCCAAGGCUAAAUACUCCUGACUGACCGAUAGUGAACCAGUACCGUGAGGGAAAGGCGAAAAGAACCCCGGCGAGGGGAGUGAAAAAGAACCUGAAACCGUGUACGUACAAGCAGUGGGAGCCUCUUUAUGGGGUGACUGCGUACCUUUUGUAUAAUGGGUCAGCGACUUAUAUUCUGUAGCAAGGUUAACCGAAUAGGGGAGCCGAAGGGAAACCGAGUCUUAACUGGGCGUUAAGUUGCAGGGUAUAGACCCGAAACCCGGUGAUCUAGCCAUGGGCAGGUUGAAGGUUGGGUAACACUAACUGGAGGACCGAACCGACUAAUGUUGAAAAAUUAGCGGAUGACUUGUGGCUGGGGGUGAAAGGCCAAUCAAACCGGGAGAUAGCUGGUUCUCCCCGAAAGCUAUUUAGGUAGCGCCUCGUGAAUUCAUCUUCGGGGGUAGAGCACUGUUUCGGCUAGGGGGUCAUCCCGACUUACCAACCCGAUGCAAACUGCGAAUACCGAAGAAUGUUAUCACGGGAGACACACGGCGGGUGCUAACGUCCGUCGUGAAGAGGGAAACAACCCAGACCGCCAGCUAAGGUCCCAAAGUCACAGUUAAGUGGGAAACGAUGUGGGAAGGCACAGACAGCCAGGAUGUUGGCUUAGAAGCAGCCAUCAUUUAAAGAAAGCGUAAUAGCUCACUGGUCGAGUCGGCCUGCGCGGAAGAUGUAACGGGGCUAAACUGUGCACCGAAGCUGCGGCAGCGACACUAUGUGUUGUUGGGUAGGGGAGCGUUCUGUAAGCCGUUGAAGGUGUGUCGUGAGGCAUGCUGGAGGUAUCAGAAGUGCGAAUGCUGACAUAAGUAACGAUAAUGCGGGUGAAAAACCCGCACGCCGGAAGACCAAGGGUUCCUGUCCAACGUUAAUCGGGGCAGGGUGAGUCGACCCCUAAGGCGAGGCCGAAAGGCGUAGUCGAUGGGAAACAGGUUAAUAUUCCUGUACUUGGUGUUACUGCGAAGGGGGGACGGAGAAGGCUAUGUUAGCCGGGCGACGGUUGUCCCGGUUUAAGCAUGUAGGCGGAGGUUCCAGGUAAAUCCGGUACCUUUUUAACGCUGAGGUGUGAUGACGAGGCACUACGGUGCUGAAGUAACAAAUGCCCUGCUUCCAGGAAAAGCCUCUAAGCAUCAGGUAACACCAAAUCGUACCCCAAACCGACACAGGUGGUCAGGUAGAGAAUACCAAGGCGCUUGAGAGAACUCGGGUGAAGGAACUAGGCAAAAUGGUGCCGUAACUUCGGGAGAAGGCACGCUGAUAUGUAGGUGAAGUGAUUUACUCAUGGAGCUGAAAUCAGUCGAAGAUACCAGCUGGCUGCAACUGUUUAUUAAAAACACAGCACUGUGCAAACACGAAAGUGGACGUAUACGGUGUGACGCCUGCCCGGUGCCGGAAGGUUAAUUGAUGGGGUUAUCCGUAAGGAGAAGCUCUUGAUCGAAGCCCCGGUAAACGGCGGCCGUAACUAUAACGGUCCUAAGGUAGCGAAAUUCCUUGUCGGGUAAGUUCCGACCUGCACGAAUGGCGUAAUGAUGGCCAGGCUGUCUCCACCCGAGACUCAGUGAAAUUGAACUCGCUGUGAAGAUGCAGUGUACCCGCGGCAAGACGGAAAGACCCCGUGAACCUUUACUAUAGCUUGACACUGAACACUGGUCCUUGAUGUGUAGGAUAGGUGGGAGGCUUUGAAGUGUGGACGCCAGUCUGCAUGGAGCCAACCUUGAAAUACCACCCUUUAAUGGCUGGUGUUCUAACGUGGGCCCGUAAUCCGGGUUGCGG
rnacentral:rRNA from 1 species